rnacentral:rRNA from 1 species
CCUACGGGCGGCAGCAGUAGGGAAUCUUCCACAAUGGGCGAAAGCCUGAUGGAGCAACGCCGCGUGGGUGAAGAAGGUCUUCGGAUCGUAAAACCCUGUUGUUAGAGAAGAAAGUGCGUGAGAGUAACUGUUCACGUUUCGACGGUAUCUACACAGAAAGCCACGGAUAACUACGUGACAGCAGCCGCGGUAAUACGUAGGUGGCAAGCGUUAUCCGGAUUUAUUGGGCGUAAAGGGAACGCAGGCGGUCUUUUAAGUCUGAUGUGAAAGCCUUCGGCUUAACCGGAGUAGUGCAUUGGAAACUGGGAGACUUGAGUGCAGAAGAGGAGAGUGGAACUCCAUGUGUAGCGGUGAAAUGCGUAGAUAUAUGGAAGAACACCAGUGGCGAAAGCGGCUCUCUGGUCUGUAACUGACGCUGAGGUUCGAAAGCGUGGGUAGCAAACAGGAUUAGAUACCCUUGUAGUC